GCCACGGUGGUGCAGUGGGUAGCACUGUUGCCUCACAGCAAGAAGAUGCCAGGUUCAAAUCCGGCCUGGGCCA
rnacentral:tRNA from 1 species